UAGGACCAGCUCAUAUGUUGCGUUAUCUGUAUCUGUUGGGGUAACUUGCAUGCGUGUUAGAAUCGGAGGCUGUCAGUUUGCAGUCAGCAACCUGGGUCUGCUGGGCACAAUGCAGGUGUGUGUUCCUCCCUGGGCCCCCAAGUAACGAGCAUGCGGCAAGGCUGUUACAAAGGCGUUUAGUUUAUUCUCAUCAGUAUCACUGAUAUUCUCAUGGUUCACAUUUGCCAACGCCGCUCCUCUCCUUACAGUAGUUAAAUGUGCAAUCUCACUUGGGGGCCCAGGGAGGGGUGGGGGUUGGGGAGGCAGAUGAGAGGCAGGGAGGACGAGGGCCAGAAACACAAACAAGGAUGUGGAUGUGGAUGGUGAAAUGACACCCUGCAUAGGGGGAUGGGGAGUUAAAAAAGAAAAAAAACUGCCUUCACAUGAAAAUCUAAAACAACAACAAAAAACCACCCACUCUGGGCGAGAACAAAAAGAGAGGAAUGGUAAAAGAGAAAAUUCUGCAAACAACUGCUAACAAUGGAAGUGGACCCGGCCCUGCCCUGCCCUGCCCAGCCCCCAGGAGCUGGGCCCAGCCAACCAGCCAAGGCCUGGGACACCCUUAAACUAUAGCCCUGUUGGGGAAGGUGAACAGGGGAGGGGGACCCACAGGACCCACAGGAGCCUAGGCAGCAGCUGGGACUGGAGUCCUACCAUGGAAACACACACACACACUCCACACACACGCACACACUCUGCCAGCCCUGGAAACC
rnacentral:lncRNA from 10 species